UACGUAGGGUGCAAGCGUUGUCCGGAAUUAUUGGGCGUAAAGAGCUCGUAGGCGGUCUGUCGCGUCGGCUGUGGAAAACCCGGAGCUCAAACUCCGGGCCUGCAGUCGAUACGGGCAGACUGGAGGUUCGGCAGGGGAGACUGGAAUUCCUGGUGUAGACGGUGAAAUGCGCAGAUAUCAGGAGGAACACCGGUGGCGAAGGCGGGUCUCUGGGCCGAUACUGACGCUGAGGAAGCGAAAGGCGUGGGGAGCGAACAGG
rnacentral:rRNA from 1 species